AUGCCGAUGUCAAAAUAUUUGGAACUGGAACUAAGCUUAUUGUUUCAAACUUUAUUCACUGUGACUGGUUAUUACCACAAAGUGUUUGGCUCUGGUACAAAACUCAUUGUGUCAGACAAAGGAAAUUCUGCACCAGAAAACUCUGAAAUCCUGGAGAGGAAAGACAAAAAUCAGACAACGUACGUUUGCCUUAUCGAGAAAUUCUACCCAGAUGUUAUUCGCGUGACAUGGACCGACGGACAAAAAGAGGUAACAGACAACGUAGUAAAAGGAGACCCUUGGAAGUCUACAAAAGAGGAUAAAUACUCCAUCAGCAGCUGGUUAACUGUACCAACAGACAAAGACAAGAACUAUCACUGCAAAUACGAGCAUGAAGGCAAACAGGAUUCGCUGCCGACACAAGAUCACUUAAUGCACAGGACGGCAUAUUUAGUGUACAUCGUCCUUCUUCUCAAGAGCUUCAUGUACUAUCUCAUCGUACUGUUUUUCAUCUACAGAAUGUGGGCUCCGACCAAGCACCAAAGAAAGCAGGCAUAA